rnacentral:ncRNA from 2 species
UGGCCGGUCGGCUUGCAGCCACGUAAAAUAACUUGCUAAAGGGCCGCGCUGUUUAAGCA